CCAAUAAGCUGAUGACAGUUGAUGCAAAAGGUAGAAAGAUUAGAUUAGGUUAGGUGAAGUCCGAUAUUAAAUAUUCACACAAAUAGACAGCCAAUCAAGCCAUACCCUUCAAUGACGCAUCUCUAGAAAAUACCUUGAUCUUCAACCCAUACCGAUAUAUCCAUGUAAUUCGCAAGACAUGAAUAUCCACAGAACAAGUAGGCACACGCAUCUGGACAUAAUACCUGUAAAGGAAAUAAACACGAAAGCCUUUAGAAUAAUUUUUGAUAAUGUCCAUUAUGUAAUGCCUCUUUUACAUUUAUAAUUUUGUAUAUCAAGUUAU